AACUUCUUCCAGUGAUCUAAUAUUGAAUAUAAAAUUACAGCCUGCCUUUUUGUUUUAUUCUAGGAGCAGACAGAAGGAGGAAGGCUUUAAGAAGCAGCAGAUUGAAGAACAGAGUGCCACCAUAAUAAGGCUUUUCCAGAGUCAUAGCACACUGAUUGGAAACAGAAGCAAAUCCUCAUCAAGGGUCAAAAUACAGACGGACAGCUAAAUGACAGGUUUAUCCAUAAUUGUAGAGCAGAACCCGAGAAAACAUGAGGAAAUCUUGACAAGCUGCACUGGAGAACAAAACAAAGUGCAGGAUUGCAGCUAACGAGUAUACAAGACUUGACGGAGAAACAAUGAGAACAGCAGGGCUGUCCCUGGACCUGAAGGAAAAGGAGGCGAGCUGGUCUUCAUGCAAACAGAGAUGCGAGUCUUUGCAACAGCAGCUGUUGGUGUGGCAACAGAAGGAGGAGGAGGCGACCUGGCAGCUGGAGAGAGCAGAGGGCGAGGGGGAGGAGCUUAGAGCUGCCCUGCAACUCGCACAUGCACACUCCGCCACUCUGCAGCAGGGGAGAACAGCACGACCGCUGGAGCAAGACUCCUUGCUAAAGCACCCACUCCUCAGAGACCUGCAAACAAACAGCCCCAUAACAACAACCAUUAAACCAUAGCAUUCAGCACAGACGUGGGCAUGGAGCUCCCACCGCAGAACAUUAAACACAGCUCAGGUUGUUCACAUCAAGCAUCCUCCAGACAGACAGACAGACAGACAGACAGUUUUAGUAGGCUGCAAUUUCGUAAGCGAGCAGUCAGUAGACUUUAACGAUAAUGUCUGCAGGUUCGUCUGAGUAUGUUCGUCUGGCUUUGUUGUGUCUGUAACACCAGUCAGGGCCUGCUCACCUGCCACUAACAGCUCAUCAGUCUGCCUCGAUUACAGACUCCUUACUCGUUCUAUCGGGACUGUUGCGGGGGCGGUUGGCCUCCAUGAACAAACAUUCUGGGAAGCUCACCGAUUUUGCAAUUUUACACAAUUUGUUGCUUCACACAUUCUGUUAUCGGAUGUACCUGCAUCGCAUUGUCAUGUAUUUAAUUAUUCAUUGUAUGUAUCUCUGGUAUAUGGUGUACACUCGUUUGACUAACAUAAAAAAAGUCAUGUAAUCCAUACUAGUAUCAUGCCCCGUGACCUUUGCCAUUUCCAGCAGACGCUAAAGAAAUCAGCACUGACCUGUGGGAUAUGUGUGUGGGCUCUCCAGUAUUAAAUGUGGAUGUGAUUUCUACCAGCGUCGCUUCUUUGUUCACACAGAUGAUUCUAGCCAUAUGCCAUAAGCCAUUGUUAAACAUACAGCUCUGGAAAAAAAAUUAAAAGACCACUUCAGUUUCUGAAUCAGUUUCUCUAAUUUUGC
ensembl:lncRNA